rnacentral:piRNA from 1 species
AGAAGUUGAUGUACAAGAAGUAG